UGGAGGAUAAAAGGCCUCAAGACGUGUAGCGGUCCCAUAGGGAACUCCACUAUCAUUCAUGUUAAUUAAUUAAAGGCUUAUCUGGGGAAGCGCUUAUAGGGGCUGGUCACCUACCUGCUCCGAGCCCGCAUGGUAGUUUUAGACUGCUGGCGGGAAAAACCGAGGCAUGUAAGAGAGUGAUUAUGACCUUUCUUUAAGGAGUAACACUCACAAGCAGCACACUUCUGACCCACUACACAGUCCCUAGAAAUUGUUCAGACUUUAU